GAUGAACGCUGGCGGCGUGCCUAAUACAUGCAAGUCGAGCGAACGGACGAGAAGCUUGCUUCUCUGAUGUUAGCGGCGGACGGGUGAGUAACACGUGGAUAACCUACCUAUAAGACUGGGAUAACUUCGGGAAACCGGAGCUAAUACCGGAUAAUAUUUUGAACCGCAGGGUUCAAAAGUGAAAGACGGUCUUGCUGUCACUUAUAGAUGGAUCCGCGCUGCAUUAGCUAGUUGGUAAGGUAACGGCUUACCAAGGCAACGAUGCAUAGCCGACCUGAGAGGGUGAUCGGCCACACUGGAACUGAGACACGGUCCAGACUCCUACGGGAGGCAGCAGUAGGGAAUCUUCCGCAAUGGGCGAAAGCCUGACGGAGCAACGACGCGUGAGUGAUGAAGGUCUUCGGAUCGUAAAACUCUGUUAUUAGGGAAGAACAUAUGUGUAAGUAACUGUGCACAUCUUGACGGUACCUAAUCAGAAAGCCACGGCUAACUACGUG
rnacentral:rRNA from 1 species